rnacentral:rRNA from 1 species
UACGUAGGGUGCAAGCGUUAAUCGGAAUUACUGGGCGUAAAGCGUGCGCAGGCGGUUGUGCAAGACAGGUGUGAAAUCCCCGGGCUUAACCUGGGAACUGCACUUGUGACUGCACAGCUGGAGUGCGGCAGAGGGGGAUGGAAUUCCGCGUGUAGCAGUGAAAUGCGUAGAUAUUCGGAGGAACACCGGUGGCGAAAGCGACCUUCUGGGGCAUUCCUGACGCUGAGGUUCGAAAGCUCGGGGAGCAAACAGG